rnacentral:lncRNA from 1 species
UCAUCUCUCCACGCAGGCACGACCAGCGUUCCCCUCUUCUCCUCUCCUCUCUUCUCGUCUCAUCUGAGUAUCUGACGCGGCGGAUUCCGUCUUAGGUCUUGAUUCUAGCUGUGAGUAAUACUAGUCGAACACAAUCUGAUUGUAGCUGUGAGUAAUACUAGUUGAAUAGACAUGAAGCGUUUGCAUUCAGGCAAACUAUUUUGUGAGGAAGUCUGAAAAUUACACAAUGCUUCUGGAGUGAAAAACUUCCGUCUGCGACCAGUAUAGUGCACGGAGUGAAAAAAUCCACAAAAUUAAAUCAUGUUUGUGGGUAAUCCUAGUCCUAUUCCUUCCUGAACAGACUUGAUGUUUUGCACUCGGAGGUUACAAAUUAGAAUGUGAUGUUGCAAUUUUGUUGUCUGAAAAAGUCUGAACCACAUGCAUUGUUUCUCUAGCGAAUAAACUGUGCCUGUCGCCAGUAUACUACAGAGAGUAAGCGUCGAGCUUUGUUUUGUGUGCGUGUGUGUGUAUGUGUGUGCACGGGAGGCUGAUGGUGCUGCCCAUGGGUAUGGCUAACUACUAAGUAUUCAUUAACCAUGUUACAUGGUAGGGGGAUACGGGUACGGGGAUACGGAUACGGCGAUACAGGAAAACAGCACUUUCUGAAAAUAGACUUACGGGGAUACGGCGAGUAUAUGUAUAAAUGCAUAAAAAAAUCAACACCAAAAACAUUUUUUUAGAGGAUGAGGAAAUUGACAUUUAUGAAGUAACCUGAUUAGUGAUCUGAAGUUGCUGCCUUUCCAUGUCCCAACCCCUUGACUGCCUGAUGCAGUCCUUGUGUUCCUCAGAAUCAUGGUACGGGGAUUGGUAUACUGGUUCUCCUCGGAAUCAUGGGGGGCGUUACGUUACUACCAUACCUUCUCCCCUAAAUCCUAAUCCAUAGCAUGCUUAAAAACAGAGAUCUUGAAGUAAUGGAUUGAAGCUUACUUAUGUACAGUACAGAUUCCGGAUGGGGAAGACUUGGAGAAGGAGAACGAGCUGUGCUUUGAGGUGCCGCCGGUGGCGCCGUAAGGGAGUCUGGAGAUGAGCUGAAACUAACCCUCGAUCGUGAUUUGGCAACUGCAAGAUGACGGCAAGAGGAAGGAUUCCAGUGAUUAGGUCUAUCUAUCCAUCGACAAGGCCUUCUGAUGGGCUGCAGAUCGAGUAUCGAGUGUUUAACAGGCCCUUACGUAUCCCUGAUGUAUCCCUGCGUGUCCCAGCCGUAUUCUGAAUUUUUUUUGCUUUAUUUUAAUUCGAAAAAAUGUGAUACGGAGGGAUACACGUAUCCCACGUGUAUCCCCAUACUGGUGCAGUAUCCUGCACCGCUACGGCACUUUUGUGCCGUAUCCCUGCAACGUAGUUCAUUAAGGUGAUAUGGUAAAGAUAGCUUACAUCACAAGAUCUAAGCAGUGCACCGUACUUGCAUGUUGUGUCCAAUAAUAUAGUAGGUUAGCAUAUAUGUUUUAUCUACCACUGAUAUAAAUCUCUUUUGCUGAAGAUAAUCACGCCAUGCAAUCCUGGGCACUUCUAUCAAAAUUCAGCCAUUCAUGUAAACGGAAAGAGAGAAACGUGAUGUCUUUCCCCAAAAUAGUAGUAUUAUAUGAAGAGAAGCAUAAGUGCAUAACUGACAAUGUACAAUGGUUUGCUAACUACUAUGAUGAGUUGUUUGGAGCGCUGCAUCAUCUCCUGAACAUUAUAAUUCUGUUAAUUCAGUAUGUACAGAAGGCAAGAGCUUCAGAGAUGUGGUCAACUGAUCACCCCCCUGCGUUCCCCUGUCUGACAGGUCGCUGUGGACGACGAUGCUAAUUUUUGGGGACACAAACAUCAGGAAGGACGACAUGAGGCUGCGUAUCUUCUCAGGAACGGCCAAUUCUUCGCUAGCCCAGGUCGGUUCGAUGUUCCUUGAAAUGGAAUACAUCAAGCAGCAAGCUACUUGUUAUAAAUCCUUCCAUGUCAAACUGAAUGAUUUGUCACUCAAUGCCACUCUAAGCUGUAUUUGUUUUUCUCUUGGUGUCUUGUGACAGGAAAUAGAAAGCUACAUGGGUCUAGAACUUGGGGAGAUUAACAUAAAAAGGUUUGGUGAUGGUGUCAUGACCUCCAGCCUCGUGGAGCUACUCAUCAUGAUUGAUGCGUGUAGAAGAGCAUCUGCUAAAAACAUUCACAUAUGCGGAAAGAGGUCAAAAUAAAAUCACCCCCAUAUGUGAAUGUUUUUUAAUAUUCAUAUGAAUGUGGAGAAUUGAAAGUCAAUGCUGAACAGUGCAGCAUAUUCUAUUACCAUGAGGAGCAUGUUGUUAUGGCAGGAUAAUGCAUGAUCAGAAAAUCAGUCUUCCUAUAGAUUUCUGGCAUGUCAUCCUAAUAUUUACAGAAAAAAUCAUCACCAAAUCUAACAUAAGUUUUUUUUUACUUCGCUGCUUUUUCAGUCUCAAGGUCGUGAAUCUAUAGUUGCAAAACUUGUAGCUAAUAUGAUUACAGAAGCUGGUGCAAACCAUGUCCUUGUUUGUGAUCUUCAUUCAAGUCAGGCCACGGGAUAUUUUGACAUCCCAGUAGAUCAUGUUUAUGGCCAGGUACUUACUGAUACACGUUGCUUCAGUUGAUCAAGUACUUCAAAACUGGCAUGUGAUAUCUAUCAUUUAUAACUGUUUCUGUCUUUGCCUCAUUAAUCUGUCAAGCCGGUGAUUCUUGAUUACAUCACCAGCAAGACAAUUUGUUCGAAUGACUUGGUGGUGGUAUCGUCUGAUGUUGGAGGCAUUGCCAGAGCAUGCACAUUUGCCAAAAAGCAGAUGCACCUCUAAUAAUUGUAGACAAAAGAAGGCAUGGACACAACGUUGCCGAGGCAAGUAGUAUAUUCUUCAGUUUUUUAGUAUAGCUGGAUGAAUGUGGAUGAGUGGAAGAGCGACUUAACUUGUUUUACAUUCUUGUCCACCAUUGGGUAUAUGAGCAGCUAACUAGGAUGCAUAGUAAGAAAAUACUCAUUGAGGCUCUUUUGUAGUUGGUUAGGUUUAUCCACUGCUCUGCUGGAAAUGUAUAUUGCAUAUGGAGAUGUGCAUUUUCACAUGGUGCAUGCAGUUUUAUUUUUCCAUGCUUUUAUGUGAUCAGUUCUGUCAGAUUAAACAAGCACAACUUGUCAUGUGCAUUUAUUGCAGGUAAUGAAUCUGAUUGGAGAUGUUAAGAGGAAAAGUGUCUGCUAUGAUGGAUGAUAUGAUUGAUAUAGCAGGUAAGUUAUCCCAUUUAAGUUAUAGGAAAACAUAAUUCUAAGAUUGACCAUCUCACAGAGGGGCAGUUGAGCCAUGAUUUAAUACAAUGAUUAAACACAGAAACUAAAUAUUACAUAGUUAGUUAAUUCUAUUUAGUAAGGCGUGGAUACAAGUCAUGUGACUUGCAAUAUAGUUUAAACAUGGAAACAUGUUGAAGUGUUCCACAUUCAUGUUUGACAACUGAGAAAGUAAAUUACAACAUCUUGUUGCAUACCAAAAGUAGCUACCUUUUGACGAUCUUUGUUUCUGAAUAUGAAUAUCCUAAUAGGACUAUCACAAUUAAAUUAGGAACUAUAGCCAAAGGAGAUGAGCUGCGGCAUCAAGAAGGAGCAAGAUAAGUCUAUGCAUGGUGUACACAUGUUGUUUAGGUACACUGUUUUUAUGCCCAUUCCAUAAUUUGUCCAGUACUAGGAAGUAUGCUAGAUUAACUACUGAACCUGCUUUGCUAUGGGAAAGGCCCAUCAGCGCACUAUAUGUGUAGUUAUAGACUUGUUCCAUGGAGCUGAGAGUUUGAUGGAACCAGAGUCUACACCAAUUCGUGGAAGCAAUUUAGAGAGUGCGACUGUGCUGGUAUAGUCAAACAUUGUAUGUCGAAUCUAAACUACAAAUCUGGAUGGAUACAUUAAGAGUGUGUUUGGUUCCGGUCACGGGAUGGAACGAGACGGAACCGUCCCGCACCUCGAGCUGAUUCUUGCGUUCGGUUCACGAGUGGAACCAGAACCUGUCGAUUCCCCCGAGCGGAAUAUUCGCCCAAGAUGCGGAAUGUGCUCGUACCUCCGAUUCGAAGGAAUUACCCCGUUCCUCGUCUCGCUCUCAUCUCCCCGACUCACUCGCAAUCUACGCAGCCUCUUCCUCGUCUUUCUCUCAUCUAUGGCGAGCGCGUGGCUACGGCCUGGAAGACGGGCGGCGGCGGCCAGUGCUCAGGUCGGGUGACACCGGCGGGAAGGCAGCAGCCGAAGAAACGGGCUACGGCGGCCGACGGGAAGGCGACAUCAGGAGAGGCGGGCGACGGUGGCCGGGGCGGGCGUCACCCGUGGCUGGAGAAACUGCUCGAUCUGGUCUUGGCGAAGGCGAGGAUGCGGAGCAGCGUCUAACUCCGCUCGAUUUGGUUGUCCUCUUCCCAUCGCACGCCUUCUCCACGGAAGCAACGGUGUGAUUUCUUGGCUGCGUGGCAGCCAGCAACAAUCAUCGGCGACCCAUAUGGCCUUAAUUCGCUGUUCAUUGCAAGUCUCCUCUUUAUGGUUAACUGCAAGUCAGAAUACUAACAGUAGUUUUAUGUCCGAAAAGAUUGGAAAUUCAACAGAUAGGUUUUGGUUAAAUCUGUAAAACGCAACUUUUCUCUUUCUGGUUAACUUCAAAUUAGAAUAUUAACAAUAGCUUUAUGUUUAAAAAGAUUACAGGGAAUCUCUUCACCAAAUUAAAUUCAUUCCAUUUCAUCUCUUCAGCCAAACACCAAAACAGAACCGUUCCAUUACACAUAAUUGCCUCUACCAAACACAGAAACGGAACCGACCCAUUCUACUGGAAUGGAAUGGAAUGGAACCAUGCCAUUCCAUUCCACUUCGUUCCCGAACCAAACACACCCUAACUGAGCAAAACAGCAGGGAAAAAGAAUUCAGUGGUGACAAUUACCAAAUCGUUGAUGCUAUGCAAAAUUUGGUUUAAACUCAUUUGUGGCAUUAGAUUCGCGUCAUGGAAAUGUGAACCCAAAGUGCAAACCUUCAAUAGAGAUUGGAAUAAUUAUGCUGCCUUGCUGCAAUUUUUGUUCAUUAGAAAAGGCUGAGAUGCAAUCAUUGAACUCGAAUUUGAGUCAUAUGUUUUAUUUUGUUAUUUCGUGUUAACAUGUUUAGCUCUGAUUUCUUACAAGUAUGUUUCACAUCCCCUUUUUAGCCCACCAUCCAUUGAGAGAUUAUCAAGUGGUUUGUGUCAAGAAGUAAACAUCACAAACAUUGUCCCUUCGAAGAAGCAUUGAAGACUUUGUUGAGCGAGGCAAGCAACCUACUUUGAUCAUGUUGAACCCAUAUUUGCAUUACACACUUAAAAUUAUUUUGCAUGCAUAAAGUAUUGUUUACUAGUAUUGCUAUGCUAAGUAAAUUAGCUAUGGUUUAGCUAUGCUCUAUGUGCUUGAUAUUGACAACCCCUUUGACAUUCUUAAUACCCCUCCUUUCUAACCGGAGGACUACAUACCCCCUAGUCACAAAUAAAUGUGGGUCAUAGAUGCAAGUUAAGUAGUGCUUAGCCAUGCAAGUCAUAUAAAUCCUAGGACUUGGGGGAAGAAUCUUAGCACAUUACCCCAAUAUGGGACGGGGCUGAGGAGAUAAUCAGAUAUGUUUGGUGGAUUAUGAGAUUUUUGGUCUAGUAUGAGCAUGGCUAUAUUAUAUUGGUUGAUAAACAUUAUCUUUUAUUAAUCUUGGAACAAUUUGGAUUUAGUAAGGUGAUUGUCAUCUUGAAGCAAAUUUGACGAUGGAUUAUGAGUUUUUUGUGGAUCUACUUAGGUGAUUGUGAUCUUGAGGAGAUAGUUAGUUUUGUUUGGUGGAUUAUGAGAUUUUUGGUCUAGUAUCAGCAUGGCUAUAUUAUAUUGGUUGAUAAACAUAUCUUCUGUUAAUUGGAUUUAGUUAGGUGAUUGUCGUCUUGACGCAAAUUUGACAAGGGAUUAUGAGUUUUUGGUGGAUCUACUUAGGUGAUUGUGAUCUUGAGGAGAUAGUCAAAGAUGUUCGGUGAAUUAUGAGAUUUUAGGUCUAGUAUGAGCAUGACUAUUAUAUUCGUGGAUAAACAUAUUUUCAAUUAAUCUUGGAAUAAUUUGGAUUUAGUUAUGUGAUUCUGAUCUUGAAGAAAAUUUGAUGAUGGACUAUGAGUUUUUGAUGAAUUUAAUUAGGUGAUUGUGAUCAUGAAGAGAUAGUAAAAAAUGUUCGGUGGAUUGUGAGAUUUUAGGUCUAGUAGUGAGAAUGGUAAUUGUUAUAUAGGUUGAUAAACAGAUUUUUAUUUUGGAACACUUUGGAUUUAGUUAGGCGAUUGUGAUUUUUAAAUCAAAUUCCAUGAUGGAUUAUGAUAUCUUAGCCUGGAUUUAGUUAGGUCAUUGUCAUCUUGAGAAGAAAGUCAAAGAUGUUCCAUGGAUUAUGAGUUUUUAGAUAUAGUAUGACGAUGUCUACUAUUAUAUGAAUAAUUAAACAUAUAUUCAGUUAAUCUUGAAACAAUUUGGAUUUAGUUAGGUGAUUGUCAUGUUGAAUCAAAUUUGACAAUGGAUUAUGAGAUUUUGGUGGAUCUACUUAGGUGAUUUUGAUCUUGAGGAGAUAGUCAAAGAUGUUCGGUGGAGUAUUAAAUUUUGGAUCUAGUAUGAGCAUGACUACUAUUAUAUUGGAGGCUAAACAUAUUUUCAAUUAAUCUUGAAAUAAUUUGGAUUUAGUUAGGUGAUUAUGAUCUUGAAGAAAUUUGCUGGUGGACUUAGUUAGGUGAUUCUGAUCCCGAGGAGAUAGUUAGAUAUGUUUGGUGGAUUAUAUGAUUUUUGGUCUAGUAUGAGCAUGGCUAUAUUAUAUUGGUUGAUAAACAUAUCUUCUGUUAAUCUUGGAACAAUUUGGAUUUAGUUAGGUGAUCAUCUUUAAGCAAAUUUGAUGAUGGAUUAUGAGUUUUUGGUGGAUUUAAUUAGUUGAUUGUGAUCUUGAGGAGAUAGUCAAAUAUGUUCGGUGGAUUAUGAGAUUUUAGGUCUAUUAUGAGCAUGACUGCUAUUAUAUUGGUGGAUAAACAUAUUUGCAAUUAAUCUUGGAAUAAUUUGGCUUUGGUUAUGCGAUUUUGAUCUUGAAGCAAAUUUGACGAUGGAUUAUGAGUUUUUGAUGGAUUUAAUUAGGUGAUCGUGAUGUUGAAGAGAUAGUUAAAAAUGUUCGGUGGAUUAUAAGAUUUUAGGUCUAGUACAUGAGAAUGGUGAUUUUUAUAUUGGUGGAUAAACAGAUCUUCAAUUAAUGUUGGGAGACUUUGGAUUUGGUUAGGCAAUUGUGAUUUUAAACCAAAUUUCACGAUGGAUAUGAUAUCUUAGCCUGGUUUUAGUUAGGUCAUUGUCAUCUUGAGAAGAUAAUUAGAGAUGUUUCAUGGGUUAUGAGAUUUUAGAUAUAGUAUGAUCGUUUCUACUAUUAUAUGAUUGUAUGAAUAAUUAAACAUAUCUUCAGUUAAUCUUGGAACAAUUUGGAUUUAGUUAGGUGAUUGUCAUCUUGAAGCAAAUUUGAUGAUGGAUUAUGAGUUUUUGGUGGAUCUACUUAGGUGAUUUUGAUCUUGAGGAGAUAGUCAAAGAUGUUCGGUGGAUUAUAAUUUUUUUGGGUCUAGUUUGAGCGUGACUACUAUAAUAUUGGUGGAUGAACAUAUUUUCAAUUAAUCUUGAAAUAAUUUGGACUUAGUUAGGUGAUUGUGAUCUUAAAGCAAAUUUGCCGAUGGAUUUAGUUAGGUGAUUGUGAUCUUGAGGAGAGUCAAAUAUGUUUGGUGGAUUAUGAGAUUUUUGGUCUAGUAUAAGCAUGGCUAUAUUAUAUUGGUUGAUAAACAUUAUCUUCUGUUAAUUUUGGAACAAUUUGGAUUUAGUUAUGUGAUUGUCAUCUUGAAGCAAAUUUGAUUAUGAGCUUUUGGUGGAUCUACUUAGGUGAUUGUGAUCUUGAGGAGAUAGUCAAAGAUUUUCGGUGGAUUAUGAGAUCUUAGGUCUAGUAUGAGCAUCACUACUAUUAUAUCGAUGGAUAAACAUAUUUUUACUUAAUCUUGGAAUAAUUUGGAUUUAGUUAUGUGAUUUUGAUCUUGAGGCAAAUUUGAUGAUUGAUUAUGAAUUUUCGAUGGAUUUAAUUAGGUGACUGUGUUCUUGAAGAGAUAGUUAAAAAUGUUCGUUGGAUUAUGAGAUUUUAGGUCUAGAACAUGAGAAUGGUGAUUAUUAUAUUGGUGUAUAAACAUAUCUUCAAUUAAUCUUGAAACACUUUGAAUUUAGUUAGGCGAUUGUGAUUUUUAAACCAAAUUUCACGAUGGAUUAUGAUAUCUUAGCCUGGAUUUAGUCAUGUUAUUGUCAUCUUGAGAAAUUAGUUAAAGGUGUUCCACGGAUUAGUAUGACCAUGUCUACUAUUGUAUGAAUAAUUAACCAUAUCUUCAAUUAAUCUUGGAACAAUUUGGAUUUAGUUAGGUGAUUGUCAUCUUGAAGCAAAUUUGACGAUGGAUUAUGAGUUUUUGGUGGAUCUACUUAGCCUAUUUUGAUCUUGAGAAGAUAGUCAAAUAUGUUUGGUGGAUUAUCAAAUUUUGUGUAUAGUAUGAGCAUUACUAUUAUAUUGGUGGAUAAACAUAUUUUCAAUUAAUCUUGAAAUAAUUUGGAUUUAGUUAGGUGAUUGUGAUCUUGAAGCAAAUUUGUCGGGGGAUAGUUAGGUGAUUGUGGUUUUGAGGAGAUAGUCAAAUAUGUUUGGUGGAUUAUAAUAUUUUUGGUCUAGUAUGAGCAUGGCUAUGUUAUAUUAGUUGAUAAACAUAUCUUCUGUUAAUCUUGAAACAAUUUGAAUUUAGUUAGGUGAUUUUUAUCUUGAAACAAAUUUGACGAUGGUUGAUGAGCUAUUGGUGGAUUUAGUUAGGUCACUGUAAUUUUGAUGAGAUAGUCCAAGAUGUUUGAUGGAUUAUGAGAUUUUAGGGUUAGUAUGAGCAUGACUAUUAUUAUGUUGGUGGAUAAACUUAUCAUCAAUUAAUCUUGGAACAACUUGAAUUUAGUUAGGUGAUUAUUAUCAUCUUGAAGCAAAUUUGACGAUGGUUUAUCAGUUUUUAGUGGAUUUAGUUAGGUCAUUAUGGUUUUGAGAAGCAAAGAUUUUUGGUGGAUUAUGAGUAUUUGUGGGAUUUAGUUCGGUGAUUGUGAUCUUCAGGAGAUAGUUAGAAAUGUUCGGUGGAUUAUGAGAUUUCAAGUCUAGUAUGAGCAUGGCUAUAUUAUAUUGGUUGAUAAACAUAUCUUCCAUUAAUCUUGUAUCAAUUUGGAUUUAGUUAGGUGAUUGUGAUCUUGAAGCAAAUUUGCUGGUGGAUUUAGUUAGGUGAUUGUGAUCUUGAGGAGAUAAUCAAAUAUGUUUGGUGGAUUAUGAGAUUUUUGGUCUAGCAUGAGCAUGGCUACUAUUAUGUUGGUGGAUAAACAUAUCUUUAAUUAAUCUUGAAAGAACUUCGAUUUAGUUAGGUGAUUAUCAUCUUGAAACAAAUUUUACGAUGGUUUAUGUGUUUUUAGUGGAUUUAGUUAGGUCACUAUGAUUUUGAUGAGAUAGACGGAAGUGGGCAGUGACCAUUAACGGACAAGCCCUCUCAAGAAGGCGACGAUGCUUGCGCUUAGCAACGCCAUUCUGAGCAUGUGCACCUGGAUAAGAGAACUGGAUGCAAGAGUACCCUGCUCAGCAAGGAUUCCAGGCAACAGCUUGGGAGAUAUACUCUCUACCAUAGUCAUCGCAAAACGCUUAUAUAUAAGACCUCACUACGGGAAGAAAUAAAGUAUAUCCAGGUGUGUCGAGAGAAGUCACUAGUGGUGACCUCCUUUCGAGGCAAAGGGAGAUGGACCCCCGUCAUCAGAGUGAACAAGGUCGAAAGGACGCUGAGACACUGUCUCGCUAUGAGUAUAAGGUAAUUGGACAUGUUUACAUAGCAGACAACCUUGACGGUUUAGAUACAUCGUCGGAGACGGAUCCAAGAAGACCACGUCAAACUAAGGAUGAGAGAUCACAAGUGACCCAAGGCGAGGAUGCCACUGCUGAAAAUAAUUGGUAGACAAGGCAAGAGAGGCAGAGACUAACGACGGUGGCAGUAGAGGGACUUGAUCCAGCAUCCCACGUGCUUGUGCACUCUUCGUACCCUACCGAUUUGGAUUGGUGUUCUUCUCCUGUUUGCAGGUUGUGGGUCACGCACUUGAUUAAGCACCCCAGGUUCUACUACUGUGCGCCCUUGACCCCGGCUUAGGUAGCGCCUUGUCCUCGGCUCGUACCGUGCGUAAUCCAGGUACGCGUCGACUGUCUGAGCUCCUGCUCACCAUUGGUGGUGCUCGAGCGUGCGGUUAUGAUGUCGCACAACAAGGGAACACGGGAUGUGGGAUUGAGACAGCACCCAUAGCAACCAGCAGCAAGGCAAAGGAUGCCCAUUCAGACUGGCAGGGAACGAAGGUGGACACAAAGGUGGAUGUUGACUUCAUAGGAGUCUCAAUAGUGCGCUCAUCAGUAAGAGCAGCACGACCAAGAAGAUCUCAAGGAAGUAGCAAAUAGGACCAAGAUCAUACAUAAGAAAUACACUAUGACGAGCCUUCAUAAAGGCAAUGUACUUAGAGUCAUCGCCAGUGAGGAUCGCCAUGUAGAAGUGUUCGACCACAAGUUGAAUGGUGGAUCGAAAGUGCAGGAAAUAAAGAAGCCAUUAGAGGUAGAAGAAACCUUAGUUUUAAGGAAGUAGCGAAGAGGACCAAGAUCAUACAUAAGAAAUUCACUAUGACGAGCCUUCACAAAGGCAAUGUACUUCGAGUGGUCGCCAGUGAUGAUCGACAUGUAGAAGUGUUCGACCACAAGUUGAAUGGUGGACCGAAAAUGCAGGAUAAUGAGCACUCGCCAAAAACCAGCCGCAAUCACCAUUGAGGCGACGCGCUCAUAUCAAACACGAGGGGUUUGCUUAGGGCCAUAUAGAGAGUGACGAAGACGACAAACCAUGCCAUCAGGAAGAGAACCUAGGUGGUGGCUACAUGUAGGCAUUCUUGACAUCAAGAGAGACAAACCAACGGCGAAUAGAAGCCACAUUGAGAAGUGUGCGAAGAGUGGUCAUGUGGGCUAUAUAGGAGCAAAUGUCUCAUAGUAGUCAUGACCAUGUUCUCACCACUAGACAAGCUUUGAAACGCUCAAGAGAAUCACCAGUCUUAACCUUGUAGACCCACUUACAAGUUAUGAGACGAGCACGAGGAGGAGGCAAAUUAAAUUGUUCAUCUUAUGAGCAUGCCUACUAUUAUGCUGGUGGAUAAAAAUAUCUUUAAUUAAUAUUGAAAUAACUUCAAUUUAGUUAGGUGAUUAUCAUCUUGAAACAAAUUUGACGAUGGUUUAUGAGUUUUUAGUGGAUUUAGUUAGGUCACUGUGAUUUUGAGGAGAUUGUCAAAGAUGUUCGGUGGAUUAUGAGAUUUUAGGGUAAGUAUGAGCAUGACUUCUAUUAUGUUGGUGUAUAAACACAUCUUCAAUUAAUCUUGGACAACUUGGAUUUAGUUAGGUGAUUAUCAUCUUGAAGCAAAUUUGACGAUGGUGUAUGAUUUUUUAGUGAAUUUAGUUAGGUCAUUGUGUUUUUGAGAAGAUAGUCAAAGAUGUUCGAUGGAUUAUGAGUGUUUGGUGGAUUUAGUUUGUAGAUUGUGAUCUUGAGGAGAUAGUUAAAGAUUUUCGACGGAUUAUGAGAUUUUAAGUCUAGUAUGAGCAUGACCUAAUUUAUAUUGGUGGAUAUACAUAUCUUUCGUUAAUCUUGAAAUAAUUUGGAUACAGUUAGGUGAUUGUCAUCUUGAAGCAAAUUUGAGGAUGGAUUAUGAGUUUUUGGUGGAUCUCGUUAAGUGAUUGUGAUUUUGAGGAGAUAGUCAAAGAUGUUCGGUGGAUUAUGAGAUUUUAGGUCUAGUAUGAGCAUGAGUACUAUUAUAUUGGUCGAUAAACAUAUUUUUAGUUAAUGUUGAAAUAAUUUGGAUUUAGUUAAUUGAUUUUGAUCUUGAAGCAAAUUUGAUGAUGGAUUUAAUUAGGUGAUUCUGAUCUUGAGGAAAUAGUCAAAAAUGUUUGGUGGAUUAUGAGAUUUGAUCAUUUUAUGGGUGGAUAAACAUAUUUUUAAUUAUUUUUUGAGCAAUUUUGACUUAGUUAGGUGGUUAUGAUCUUGAACCCAAUUUCACAAUGUAUUAUGAGAUUUUUGCUGGAUUUAGUUAGGUAAUUGUGGUCUUGAGAAGAUAGUCAAAAAUGUUUGGUGGAUUAUGACAUUUUAGAUUACACCUAGUUUCAAUGGAUAUGCUGGUGACCUUCGGCAUCGACGUCGCCUCUGGCUUAUGCUAGCGUCCCGGCAGCGAGAUAAUGAGCACUUCAAAGCCCUGGCAAAUCACCGUCUUUGCGGAAGGGCAUACUUCGGAACCACUGAAUCUCACGUUGUUUAGGCCUACACCUCCUGAACAGAAUCCGUAGCGAUCAUAGAGUGAAGAGCCUACUUUUAAGUUCUACACGGCUGGUUUCGAAUGCGCAGAGGGCUUGGAGUAUCACAACAGAUUCUUGUACAUUCUUACUAAGAUACGAUUAACAUGAGAGAUAAAACAACUCUGAAUCUGAAGAGCAAUGGAAGUCGAAUCAGCAACUAGCUGCGGCAUGUAGCUUGUUCAGCACCAUCAGACAAUCUGAAGCCUGAAUCAUCACUCGCUAGUAGCCUUCUGGCAGAGCAAAGUGAAGAGUCAGAGGGCAUCAAGCAAAACAAGGCCCGUAGUAUAUAUUGCAGCAUCCUAGUGAGGCAUGAUGCUGCUGGAAGGCAAAUAUCCACUGCAAGGUUCCGUAUUGAGAACACGAUACAAUGUUAUGUGAAUUCCAAGGCUGAUUGGUGGACAAAUGUCGUGAGCGUAUCCGGCGUGAUGCUACAGUUGACAAGACUGUCUGCCGCCAAAAUCUUUCUUGGAUAACUCAUUUGUGGCUGAAGGCAGAACAUGAGUGGCAACACAAUUACUUGAAAGAUGGGCCGUGUGUGACACCUGAAGAAGCAGUUGCUAUUUAUCCAACUAUUUCCCAUGCACAUCUAUGGCACAAGGUCCAUGAAAGUGUUGCUAUGGAUCUUUGCCAAGUUCUGGGUCAGGAGUUGGAUGCGCUGGAGAUUGAGAUAGUACAGAAGGGGACAAUACAUCCAAGGAAGAGUUGCAAGAUGAACAGUUCAUGUGCAGAUGUCCUUUUUGCUGCACAUAGGUGGCAGAUGUCCAAACCAAGCUUAGUUUCUGAGUUAAAGGAUGUCUUCGAUCAGAAAGCCAGUAACAAGCACUGGAUUGAUGUGCAACCAAGAUGGGGAGACUAUGAUUCGCAUGACAUAGAACAUUACGCAAGAGCAAAAUUUAUGGACUACAUGACAGAUAAUUUGUCCAUCUACCGUACUCCGACUGGUAUGAUUUUGAGUGUCCAUUGACUGUCAAUUUCUUGCCUUGUCUGAGUCUUCAGUGCUUAAUGUUGAUUAAUAUUUCUUGCAUGGGUGAUGAUUGGACUUGAUCUAGCUUAUAAUUUGCACUCUGCUUUUGGUAAUUGGUUCCCUGGGUCAAAGCCCCUCCUUCAGCAAGCAAUGAACAAGAUCAUGAAGGUAAUAACCAUGCUAACUGUAACAAAUCUAGAUAUCUCUGUUGUAAUAAAAAAUGUCUUAUUUAAUGUAGUAAAUGACAUGCUUGUUUAUUUUCUCUUUUGACAGUCAAAUCCUGCUCUGUAUGUGCUGAGGGAGAGAAUAGGAAAGGGUCUUCAGUUGUAUUCAUCUGAACCCACUGCCCACCGAGCCAUAUGUGUCUUCAUAGAACUACGGUACUGAGAGAUAUUCAGCAAUCAAAUCAUAUGGUUUGUGGAUGACACAAAUGUCUAUCGAGUUACCAUUCACAAAAUCGAGGGUAACCUGACGGCCAAACCAAUCAAUGGUGCUAUCUUUAUUUUCAGUCCAAGAACUGGUCAACCAACUAUUUCUGAAGGUUUGUUCCCUUUGUUUUGCUUUUAGCUCUAGUUUUCUCGCAAUUAUGGCAUAACUACGCAGCAUCACAACUUGGACAACUUGAAUGAAAAUGGAUUAUAAUCUGCAGGUCAUCCACACAAGUGUAUGGGCAGGACAAAAGCGUCUAGGGCAGCUGGCCAAGUGGAGAACAGCCGAGGAGGUUGCUGCACUAGUUCGAUCUUUUCCCGUUGAGAGCAACCAAAGCAAAUUAUUGUGACAAGGAAGGGUAUGAGCAAGCAACAUUUGCAUCGAAGACAGAUUUGCGUGUCAGGGCCAUCUCUGCUAUGAACCCUUAUCUUCGUGUCAACCGCAUUUAUGUUAACUCGGAUGAUAAAAAGGUCAGAGGCACAAUUUAUUUUCUUCGAUUUACCCAUAAAGUCGCCAAAUGGCUACAGGAGACUGGUUAUACUUACAUCAUGACAAAGAAUAUAUUGAAGAAGUUGAUAUGCAUAGCAGAUCUACGGACACAGGUUGCAGGUUUCCUGUAUGGGCUGAGUCCACAGGAUAAUCCCCAAGUCAGGGAGAUGAGAUGCAUAUCCAUUCCGCCACAACAUGGAAGUCACCAAUGGUGACUUUGCCAGCGAAUAUCCCAGGGCAUGAGUUCCUUGCUGACUUGGAGCCGUUGGGACCUAGUCGAAUGGAGCUCCUCAGCUAUCACCUCAAGUUUGUCUCCUACCAUUUGUAUCUUCAAAUGUAACCUUGUGAUUCUUAUCCAAAAUCAAAAUUACAUACUCCCUCCGAUCCAUAUUAAUUGUCGCUGAUUUAGUCCAAAUGUCCAAGGAGUAGCUGAAUUGGAGUGCACAAUUCUAUAAUUCCUGAUCAAGCAGAUUUAUCUCUUUCCAUGAGUGGCUAAUUGUCUCUCCUUGGACAUUUGAAUUCUGAAUGUGAAUAUUAAAAUCAUCUUAUACAAAAUUUAAUCUUUCCAACUCACACUGCACUGUACAUACAAAUUUAUUAUUGUUGAUUCUUUUGUUUCUUGCACAUUUUACAAGUGACUUUUUUUUCCUGGGAUAGUUUCAGUGCCGAAUUAUUCGUUCUGUUGUUUUUGGCACAUUCUGGUAGUAUAGUCCAUUUUUGCCUGUGAACCAGUGUCUCCACUGAACUGUAUUCUGUAGUUUCUUUCUUCACAUUCUGUUGUUUCUUUCUUGCACAUAGAGUCUCAUAUACUGAACUGUUCGUUCUGUUGUUCCUUGCAGGAUUUGGCAUGACAUGCUAAAAUUUUGGAGAAGAACGAGGCGUGGCAUGGUGAAAAGGGCAUCAUUUUGACCUGCCCGUGAACAUCUUGGGUCAGUGGUUAUGCUUGCGAGAAGAAAAAACCUAUCAGGGUCAGUGGUCAUCACUUGUCAAACUGAAUCGUUAUCGUCAAGUGGAUGUUUUUCUUGGUGUUAUCAUCCUUUUACUCGUUGAUACUUUGUGAUUUGAGCUUCUUUAUUGAAGCUUAAUGUGUUAUGUCCGUCUGGUUGCUCUUCUUAAAAUUGGAGCACUUGCAGAUUUCUGUUGCUAGGUUAAGUUUACUUUGUCGGUCAGUGUUUGGUUAUAUAUGUUUCAGUCAGUCAGUUUUAUGCCUGAGAGCAAAUCAGUUGUUCUGGACCUGAUCAAACCUCAGCUAUUGCUUGAGCCAGUUCUGGGAUGGUGACCCCUUGAAGAGUCUGGUCAAAGCAAGCCAGUACUGCAGCAUCAACAUUACUACUGUAACCAUCUUGGCACUGACGAUGGCUUUGCUGUUCCGAGCCUCGUUGCGUACGUGAGUCCCAUGGAAACCGACACCUGACAGCAAUAGCAGUGGAUGUUUCUUCUUCUUUGAGACUAAAGUUGUUUUGAUAGUAACUUGGAUUAUGAGCGCCU